CAGCCGCACGGUAAUACGUAGGGUGCAAGCGUUAAUCGGAAUUACUGGGCGUAAAGCGUGCGCAGGCGGUUAUAUAAGACAGAUGUGAAAUCCCCGGGCUCAACCUGGGAACUGCAUUUGUGACUGUAUAGCUAGAGUACGGCAGAGGGGGAUGGAAUUCCGCGUGUAGCAGUGAAAUGCGUAGAUAUGCGGAGGAACACCGAUGGCGAAGGCAAUCCCCUGGGCCUGUACUGACGCUCAUGCACGAAAGCGUGGGGAGCAAACAGGAUUAGAUACCCCCGUAGUCCCUGUCUCUUAUACA
rnacentral:rRNA from 1 species